rnacentral:rRNA from 1 species
GUCGAGGGGCAGCAUAUGAGUAGCAAUACUUAUGAUGGCGACCGGCGCACGGGUGCGUAACGCGUAUGCAACCUACCUUUUACAGGGGCAUAACACUGAGAAAUCGGUACUAAUUCCCCAUAAUAUCUGAGACGGCAUCGUUUCGGGUUGAAAACUCCGGUGGUAAAAGAUGGGCAUGCGUUGUAUUAGCUGGUUGGUGAGGUAACGGCUCACCAAGGCGACGAUACAUAGGGGGACUGAGAGGUUAACCCCCCACAUUGGUACUGAGACACGGACCAAACUCCUACGGGAGGCAGCAGUGAGGAAUAUUGGUCAAUGGACGCAAGUCUGAACCAGCCAUGCCGCGUGCAGGAAGACGGCUCUAUGAGUUGUAAACUGCUUUUGUACGAGGGUAAAUGCAGGUACGUGUAUCUGUUUGAAAGUAUCGUACGAAUAAGGAUCGGCUAACUCCGUGCCAGCAGCCGCGGUAAUACGGAGGAUCCAAGCGUUAUCCGGAUUUAUUGGGUUUAAAGGGUGCGUAGGCGGUUUUAUAAGUUAGAGGUGAAAUCUCGGGGCUCAACUCCGAAAUUGCCUCUAAUACUGUAGGACUAGAGAGUAGUUGCGGUAAGCGGAAUGUAUGGUGUAGCGGUGAAAUGCUUAGAGAUCAUACAGAACACCGAUUGCGAAGGCAGCUUACCAAACUAUAUCUGACGUUGAGGCACGAAAGCGUGGGGAGCAAACAGGAUUAGAUACCCUGGUAGUCCACGCAGUAAACGAUGAUAACUCGUUGUCGGCGAUACACAGUCGGUGACUAAGCGAAAGCGAU